rnacentral:rRNA from 1 species
ACGUAGGUGGCAAGCGUUGUCCGGAUUUAUUGGGUUUAAAGGGUGCGUAGGCGGCCCUGUAAGUCAGUGGUGAAAUACUCUAGCUUAACUAGAGGGGUGCCAUUGAUACUGCAGGGCUUGAGUACAGAUGAGGUAGGCGGAAUUGACGGUGUAGCGGUGAAAUGCAUAGAUAUCGUCAAGAACUCCGAUAGCGAAGGCAGCUUACUAAGCUGUAACUGACGCUGAGGCACGAAAGUGUGGGGAUCAAACAGGAUUAGAUACCCUGGUAGUCCACACUGUAAACGUUGAUGACUCGAUGUUGGCGAUACACAGCCAGCGUCCAAGAGCAAUCGUUAAGUCAUCCACCUGGGGAGUACGCCGGCAACGGUG